GAAGAGGUGGAGAAUACUAUUGGUCCCUAUGUUUCUCAAGCGAUUCACAAGGCAGUAAAUGGUGGUUAUAAAAGUUCACAAGAAGUAUAUGAUGAUUACAAAAUCUUCACUCAUGCUCUUAUUCAAUUGGUAAAGGGACAGGAUAAGCCUGAGAUUGGACACUAUGCUGAUGAGUAUUUCCUUCACGCAGCACUGUUGGAAAAGAAAAAGAUGCUUCAGUGGUUUUCGAACAUGUUAUCUGAUGAAUCACUUGGAAAGGUCGACAGAGAUUGGAUCAACGAUCAACUGGUGGAGGACAAAAAUUCUGAACAUUUUCGUUUGGAUGAAAUACAGUUAAAUACUUGC